rnacentral:rRNA from 1 species
GAUGAACGCUGGCGGCGUGCCUAAUACAUGCAAGUCGAGCGAACAGACGAGGAGCUUGCUCCUCUGACGUUAGCGGCGGACAGGUGAGUAACACGUGGAUAACCUACCUAUAAGACUGGGAUAACUUCGGGAAACCGGAGCUAAUACCGGAUCAUAUAUUGAACCGCAUGGUUCAAUAGUUAAAGACGGUUUUGCUGUCACUUAUAGAUGGAUCCGCGCCGCAUUAGCUAGUUGGUAAGGUAACGGCUUACCAAGGCAACGAUGCGUAGCCGACCUGAGAGGGUGAUCGGCCACACUGGAACUGAGACACGGUCCAGACUCCUACGGGAGGCAGCAGUAGGGAAUCUUCCGCAAUGGGCGAAAGCUUGACGGAGCAACGCCGCGUGAGUGAUGAAGGUCUUCGGAUCGUAAAACUCUGUUAUUAGGGAAGAACAAAUGUGUAAGUAACUAUGCACGUCUUGACGGUACCUAAUCAGAAAGCCACGGCUAACUACGUG